UCGGCGCGGCGGCUGGCAGGCAGCGGCCGCCUCUGUUCCCCGGCGCCCUGCGGGAGGUCAUUGCACAAGAGGGGCUGGAGCCAGGGCUCUUCGCAGGCUGCGGUUCCCGGUGCAUGGGGGACAAAGCGACAGCUGCCGCCUGCUGCUGCCGCCGCCGCGUGGGGGCGGCCCCGCCUACCUCUGCCCCCAGCUGCCUGUGGUGGUGAGGAGGAGGAGGAGGAGGAUGACUCUGGCCGAGGGUGUCUCACGCCUCUUCUGAGCCCCUGAGACGUUUGCUCCCGGCCGCCCGUGGCCUUUGGAUGCUCUUUGCAGCGGCCGCCGCCCCCUGGCCGCGCCCCGCGCCCGCAGCGCCAUGCACACCGUGCAGAAGGACACUACCUUCACCAAGAUCUUCGUCGGGGGGCUGCCCUACCACACCACCGACUCCUCCCUGAGGAAGUACUUCGAGGUGUUCGGGGACAUCGAGGAAGCGGUGGUGAUCACCGACCGGCAGACGGGCAAAUCCCGGGGAUAUGGCUUCGUGACCAUGGCAGACAGAGCUGCAGCUGAGAGAGCAUGCAAAGAUCCCAACCCCAUCAUUGAUGGCAGAAAAGCAAAUGUGAACCUGGCAUAUCUGGGAGCAAAACCAAGGAGUAUUCAAACUGGUUUCACUAUAGGUGUGCAGCAGCUACAUCCAGCCUUUAUUCAGCGACCAUAUGGGCUCACCCCUCACUAUAUUUACCCUCAAGCUAUUGUUCAGCCUAGCGUGGUCAUCCCAACCCCUGUGCAGUCUAUCACAUCUCCCUACAUAGACUACACCUCUGCGAGCCAAGCCUACACCCAGUACACCACAGCUGCCUACGACCAGUACCCCUACGCCGCCUCUCCUGCUGCUGGGUUUGUGGGAUACGGCUACACGAGCGCAGUUCAGCAGCCCAUCACUGCUAGCAAUCCGGCAGCACACACCACAGCUUUUGUUCAGUAUCAGCCCCAGCAGCUGCAGCCUGACCGUAUGCAGUAAGGGCCCUGCCCGUGCGUUCACCAUGUAGGACAAUCUCUUUUACAGUGGAAGGAUACAAACAAAAAAGCAGAAAACAAAACCACCCAAACUUACUAGGUGUAUACGAAUACCUAAGCUAUUUAUAGUGUUAAGGACAAGCCUAAACCCUUGCUGUCUGACUGUGCUCAUGGAAAAGGACUUCCGUGUUCCAGUUGCUAGGGGCUUGAUGUGGCGAAGUACUGAGCAGGUCCUUGAGCUGCUAAGUGCCCUUUACUCCCAUGGUGACACCCCAAGAGAAAUAGAUGCAAUUUCUUUUAGAAGACCAGAGCCUAGACAAACGGACUGAAGAGGUGUGGAAUAGCAGUUGGUGCAAGGCAGUGUAACACUAUCACUAGAACAGGCAACUGGGAGUCAGAUCUCUUGAGUUCACCUAACCUUUCUGGGACUGCGUUAACUUCUCUGUAGAUAAAGUAUACCAGCACCUACAUCCGAAAGUGGAGGCAUCCCUUUUGCCUGCAGCCACCCAUAUUUGCAAAUCCGGAUGGAUACAUGCAUCACAAACUGAAUGACUGCACAAGCAGGUGGUAGGGUUUGUGUCUCUUUCUAAAGAUGCUUUGCCCACAGCUCAAGCAGAGCCUGUUGAGAAGUGUAACACCAUCGCAUUUUAACUUUACAUAGUUUAGGGCAGGAAGUGAAUCAGAGUAUCGGGGCCAGAUGGAAUGAAUGGGGGUGGGAUGCUAGCCUUAAGUACCAUGGGAUCCUUGAUAAGUGCAAAGAGCCAAGGACCUGGGUUAUCAAUUUCAUUGAAAAACACAGGCCUGUGCCUGUUCUCAUCUGGCUGGAACCAGGGUCCAGGAUUGAUUCCAUGGGAAGAGGAGUGACCCCUACUGUAUCUCCACCUCAUUUUCCACAGCUCAGUGAAUCUUCCUCAGAUGUCUCCCAGGCAAGCAUUGAGAUCAGCCAGCCUCGCUUAGCUUAUGAGACCAGUGCCCAAAGGGGUGAGGCCUAGCGGGGAAAAGGAUGAGCAUUUAUUUGCACAUUAACCGAGGUAACUGCGCUUUUGCUGCAGUUUACCCAUUAGGCUCGAGUGCAUGGUAAUGAUUUCACCCCCAUGACACGUACAAAGAAUGCUAACACCAUCUGUUUCAUUUUCUGGCUGGAACGAGCUUUCCCUUCCUUUCUGCCACCCUCAAUCCUGCCAACGUAGAGAUUCCCUUGUUUAAAAAAAAAAACAAAGUCUGGAUUAAAAACCAUCCCUACAAUAGGUUGAAUAACAAAGUCAACUGACUCUGUUGCAUCGUGCCCAGUGAAUGGCUGCCACAUAUCAGGAUAUUGUCAAGGGGGGUAGAGGGGGGCAGUCAUGUGUUUUACUAGAUGGUUCCUGGAAAAGUUUCUGUUCAGCCUGAUAGAAUGCCUGGCUGCUGUUAUCUCUGCACUUGCACUUAAAUGGAUGUGCUGCGUCUGCUUGCCAGCUAUGGUGGUGGUGGAAAAUUUCUUAAACUUAAUAAAAAAAAAAAUCCUCCUGUGAUACAAUAGAAAUUGGUUCUUCCUGUGACCUGAAUAAUAAACAACUAUAAAUGGUAAUCCAGGCUGUGCAUGUUUUCAAACCCUUGUAGUACACACGUUUAGAAUGAUGAUAUGAGCACUACGUGGGAUGGGAGGGGGGAAGCUGGCCUUGUUGUUGAAAACCGAGCUGAAGGGCUGAGCCGUCGUCCUCUCUGGGAAACGCUGCCGGCAAGGAUUCCAUCUUUCUUCUCAUGCCAGCUUCCCCCACCAUUUGUUUAUUUAUUUAUUUAUUGACAUGGAAUUGUUCCAGCCUUUCUUAGAGUGGUUGCAAUGCUAAUCAACGAGGAUGGGCGCAAAUGAUAUAGUUGGCCGUGGGGAGAGGGAGCAUGUGGGGGCAGGAAUUGGAAAUCUGAAUUUCACAAACAACCCUUCUUAUUACUGAGAGCUGACUCCACACAGCAGAUCUCAAACCUGGGGUGUUUGACAUUUGCAUCUGGCUCAAGAUCUGAGUUUUGCAGCUUGAGUCUAUUGGUGACAACACCACCACCAAUAAUAAUAUCAGAAUAGAUCUAUGCACUCAAAGGAGCUAGAGCAGAGUAGCUCUGGCAAAGGGAAGAGUCUGUCUCAGAUAAGGAUAAAGAGUGUGGGAAGGAGAUUGAGGCCCAUGCUUGUUAGAAAUGCGCAUCCAAUUGUGUGCCUAAUUUUCUCGCAGUUGCACUUGCUGUUAUGAUGAUUGUGCACACAGCUGCAAAUGCAGGAGCCUGACCAGUCGGAUGGUUAAAUUCCUGUGUUCGCUCGAGCUCCUUCCAUUGUGCUCAUUGGGAGUCACACCUGAGAUAACGCACGGAGGGGGGAAUUUCCAGAAGAAAAGUCCAAGUGAGGCCAGAGCUAUGCUAGGAGCCAGCAGUGAACAACUGAGCAGCUUAUUUAGCUAUGAAUGGUUGGUUGAGUUGUGGUUUCUCAUGGCAGCAGAGUGAAGGAAAAGCUCCACACCCCUGUUUCUAUGGGGAGCCCUGACACGUCACAAUGGAGUCCCGGAUGUGGUUUAUAUGAAGUGUGUGUGGCGCUCUCUUUGCAUUGCUGCACAGGAAAGGUUUUUGACAGCCCGGUGAUGAUUAAAAUAAAGGGGAUGGUAAAUAUGAAACUAGGAUGUGCCCUGGGGCAAUAAAGCCACAGCAAGCCCUUCUUAACCUAAACUCCCACUGCAGUCAAUAGAAAUGUGGACUGAGCAAGGCUCCCAGGAUGUGGCCCAAUUAGUUUUCUUUCCACUAUUCCCCUGAAAAGUAACUUGCCUUUAAAUUGCUGCAACCAAUUCACAGGAUGGAUAAAAGAAAAAGCCAAAGCAGAGGGGUUGGUUCAAAGAGAUUAGUAUUAUACCUUCAGCCAAAGAUUUAAUGAAUGCAGGGACUUCCCAGGAGCAUGUCUCUUAUUCCGCACUCCCCCUCACACCCUUUGCUCCACUCCUUUUGCUAUUCAGAUGCAGAACGAUGCCAGUUCAAAUGCAGAAGACAGUCUCAAGGCAUGGGGAGCAAGUAAUCAUUUUUUGGACAAAGGCGCUAAGCAAGCCGUGGCAAACAAACAUCCUUCUCGCUUCCUACGGCCCCGAGAGCAAAAGCUCGUCUGAAACUGCCGAGCACAGAGGGACAGUGCUGGUGUGUGCAGUGGGGGUGGGGGUCUUCCAGGCGACUGGCAAGCAGUCCAAUUCAUUCUGUGCCUUGCAGGCUGAAACCAAACUUAGGGCAGAGUGACAAACAAAUCAAUGGUAACAAAAAGGCUUUGAGCCCCGAAUAAAUGAGACUCCCAGUGUUCAGGUUUCACGUGCACUCUCAUUUUGCUGACACAUGGCACAGGCAUUUGGUCGGAUUGUCACCCGGGUCCUAACUUCAGCCAACAAUACAAACCCCAUAUAGGAACCAGCUCUGCAUUAACCCUGAAGCUCCACACCUCACACUAAAGGACAUCAGAUACGUAUUCACAAGUGGCAUCCGCCCAUUCUUGUGCUGUGCUGGGGUAGCAUGUGGAUGUCGGCCUGGGCCUCGCUGAGGGAUCACUGUCUUUCCGAAUGCUCUGGUUUGUGCUGGUGCCACAUUAAACCAUCAUUAUCAGCCAUUUACAAA